rnacentral:rRNA from 1 species
AGCGAACGCUGGCGGCAGGCUUAACACAUGCAAGUCGAGCGGGCGUAGCAAUACGUCAGCGGCAGACGGGUGAGUAACGCGUGGGAACGUACCUUUUGGUUCGGAACAACACAGGGAAACUUGUGCUAAUACCGGAUAAGCCCUUACGGGGAAAGAUUUAUCGCCGAAAGAUCGGCCCGCGUCUGAUUAGCUAGUUGGUGAGGUAACGGCUCACCAAGGCGACGAUCAGUAGCUGGUCUGAGAGGAUGAUCAGCCACAUUGGGACUGAGACACGGCCCAAACUCCUACGGGAGGCAGCAGUGGGGAAUAUUGGACAAUGGGGGCAACCUUGAUCCAGCCAUGCCGCGUGAGUGAUGAAGGCCCUAGGGUUGUAAAGCUCUUUUGUGCGGGAAGAUAAUGACGGUACCGCAAGAAUAAGCCCCGGCUAACUUCGUG